rnacentral:rRNA from 1 species
AACGAACGCUGGCGGCAGGCUUAACACGUGCAAGUCGAACGCCCCGCAAGGGGAGUGGCAGACGGGAGAGUAACGCGUGGGAAUCUACCUAGUUCUACGGAACAACAGAGGGAAACUUCUGCUAAUACCGUAUACGCCCAAAGGGGGAAAGAUUUAUCGGAAUUAGAUGAGCCCGCGUACGAUUAGCUAGUUGGUGAGGUAAUGGCUCACCAAGGCGACGAUCUUUAGCUGGUCUGAGAGGAUGAUCAGCCACACUGGGACUGAGACACGGCCCAGACUCCUACGGGAGGCAGCAGUGGGGAAUAUUGGACAAUGGGCGCAAGCCUGAUCCAGCCAUGCCGCGUGAGUGAUGAAGGCCUUAGGGUUGUAAAGCUCUUUCAGUGGGGAAGAUAAUGACGGUACCCACAGAAGAAGCCCCGGCUAACUUCGUGCCAGCCGCCGCAGUAAGAC